rnacentral:rRNA from 1 species
CCUACGGGAGGCAGCAGUAGGGAAUAUUGCUCAAUGGGGGAAACCCUGAAGCAGCAACGCCGCGUGGAGGAUGAAGGUUUUCGGAUUGUAAACUCCUUUUGUUAGAGAAGAUAAUGACGGUAUCUAACGAAUCAGCACCGGCUAACUCCGUGCCAGCAGCCGCGGUCAUACGGAGGGUGCCAGCGUUACUCGGAAUCACUGGGCGUAAAGAGCGCGUAGGCGGGAUAGCAAGUCAGAUGUGAAAUCCUAUGGCUUAACCAUAGAACUGCAUUUGAAACUGUUAUUCUAGAGUAUGGGAGAGGUAGGUGGAAUUCGUGGUGUAGGGGUAAAAUCCGUAGAGAUCAAGAGGAAUACUCAUUGCGAAGGCGACCUGCUAGAACAUAACUGACGCUGAUGCGCGAAAGCGUGGGGAGCAAACAGGAUUAGAUACCCGUGUAGUC